UGGUCUUCCGUGCCUUCAUAUUUGCACC
rnacentral:piRNA from 1 species